rnacentral:rRNA from 1 species
GACGAACGCUGGCGGCGUGCUUAACACAUGCAAGUCGAACGGAACGGCCCUGCUUUUGUGGGGUGCUCGAGUGGCGAACGGGUGAGUAACCCGUGAGUAACCUGCCCUUGACUUUGGGAUAACUUCAGGAAACUGGGGCUAAUACCGGAUAGGAGCUCCUGCUGCUUGGUGGGGGUUGGAAAGUUUCGGCGGUUGGGGAUGGACUCGCGGCUUAUCAGCUUGUUGGUGGGGUAGUGGCUUACCAUGGCUUUGACAGGUAGCCGGGCUGCGCGGGUGAGCGGCCACAUUAGGACGGAAAUGCGGCCCAGACUCCUACCGUAGGCAAAGGAGGGGUGUAGAACACUAUAGACGGAGCGCUAGUGCAACAACGCCGCGUGGCGGGAGACAGCCAUCGGGUUGUAAACCACUUUCCCCUGUGACGGAACGUGAAUGACGGUAAUGGGUGAAGAAGCACCGGCUAACUACGUG